rnacentral:rRNA from 1 species
UCCUGACUGACCGAUAGUGAACCAGUACCGUGAGGGAAAGGCGAAAAGAACCCCGGCGAGGGGAGUGAAAAAGAACCUGAAACCGUGUACGUACAAGCAGUGGGAGCACAGAGCAAUCUGUGUGACUGCGUACCUUUUGUAUAAUGGGUCAGCGACUUAUAUUCUGUAGCAAGGUUAACCGAAUAGGGGAGCCGAAGGGAAACCGAGUCUUAACUGGGCGUUAAGUUGCAGGGUAUAGACCCGAAACCCGGUGAUCUAGCCAUGGGCAGGUUGAAGGUUGGGUAACACUAACUGGAGGACCGAACCGACUAAUGUUGAAAAAUUAGCGGAUGACUUGUGGCUGGGGGUGAAAGGCCAAUCAAACCGGGAGAUAGCUGGUUCUCCCCGAAAGCUAUUUAGGUAGCGCCUCGUGAAUUCAUCUCCGGGGGUAGAGCACUGUUUCGGCAAGGGGGUCAUCCCGA